rnacentral:rRNA from 1 species
GACGAACGCUGGCGGCGUGCUUAACACAUGCAAGUCGAACGGAAAGGCCCUGCUUUUGUGGGGUGCUCGAGUGGCGAACGGGUGAGUAACACGUGAGUAACCUGCCCUUGACUUUGGGAUAACUUCAGGAAACUGGGGCUAAUACCGGAUAGGAGCUCCUGCUGCAUGGUGGGGGUUGGAAAGUUUCGGCGGUUGGGGAUGGACUCGCGGCUUAUCAGCUUGUUGGUGGGGUAGUGGCUUACCAAGGCUUUGACGGGUAGCCGGCCUGAGAGGGUGACCGGCCACAUUGGGACUGAGAUACGGCCCAGACUGCUACGGGGGGCAGCAGUGGGGAAUAUUGCACAAUGGGCGGAAGCCUGAUGCAGCAACGCCGCGUGCGGGAUGACGGCCUUCGGGUUGUAAACCGCUUUCGCCUGUGACGAAGCGUGAGUGACGGUAAUGGGUAAAGAAGCACCGGCUAACUACGUG